CUCUCCAGUUUCAUCUCUCAGGAUAUUCUCCCGUGCUGCCUCUGCCCCAGCACCUUAAAUACUAUGUUCCAUCCCUCCUUGGGGCCUGCUGCCUGGAUGCCUCCUCUUCAUGCUCCUGUCCCACACCUCUUUAAUUAAGCUCAGCUCUGACAUCACUUCUUCAUGGAAGCUCUUUGACGCUCCAUUUUAAAGCAGCUUCUCCUUUUAUAAUCCUCGUAAAGGAGAGCUAUCAUCCACCAAAAGGGUGGUAAAUGGACUUGGUGAAAACAGCUGAUUUACCCAGCAACUCCUUUCCUGAGCUUCUUAGCGGAAAUACUCUAACAGGUGCUGCUCCAGGCUGAAUAGAACUUGACAAAAAUUCCCAGCGGGGAUAAUUGCAGUAAGUUAAUAUAAUGGUUAGCAUUGGAUCUCUGGCAGUUAAGGACAUGAGUUUUCUUAGAGCAGAGAGGACAAAGCCAUGGAGUCUUUUCGGAGAAAAGCUAUUCCACAUCACUCUUCAGAAGACUGAGCUAUUUGUAAAGCAAGUUUAUCUAGCAAAAGGCUAUGAAAUAUGUUUUUUUCCUUGAAUAACUGCUGUGGUAUGGAUGAGGUUAGAACAUUCUGUUCUCAUUCUUCCCAGCUUAGCUUAGGGGUGGGAAGGUUUGCUUGUGCUGAAUGCUAAGCACUGUCACCGCGAGGAGUGAAGAUUAGACACAGAGGAAAUAUUCUAAGGCAGGCUCAUUAUUUGCCUUGAAAAGCCAUCCAAGAGAACGCAGAGUAAAUUAAUGUAGUGGAAUUGUUGGGCAGAGUCAGAGGUCUGAUUUUGAAUCUUGUUGGAAAUAUGCUGGGUGAUUAGGAUUCCAAGUCUAGUUUCAAAAGGGUUAACUUUUAGCAGGCAGGGCUGGAUGUGAACAUACUUCAGACAACUCACAACUUGUUACUUAAUCUGAAGGCCAUUUUAAAGGGAGAGUUAGAAAUAUCUUUAUUGAAUAAAUGAGUAAGAGGGCAGACAUUAUGUUCUAAGAGAAGCUACCAUUUAUGGGCUCUGAAUUAAAUUGAAAAGCUCUCUGCUUUUUUAAAUGCCUCUUUUAGAAAUGAGUCAAAGCCCACAUGGCAAUAAGCAAUAUUAAUGCUUUUUAGAAAAAAACCAUUCCUAUACAACUCUGUUAGAUAGAGAGAAGUCAACAUUUCACAUGAUCAACUGGGACAUGUUGUGCUAGACUCUUUGCAGUUAAAAUUUAGCUGAGAAAUUUGUAAUUAAAAUAUCAGUGUAUUUCCCUCUCAAAAAUAUUGAAAGAGAGAGAGUUAUAUUCAUUCAAAUGAAAGAAAAUUUUCUUACAACGGCAUUUUCAACACGGCAGUCAGACCAGUCUAAAGAGUUUAGUGAGGUAACUAAUAUGAAUUUGAUAUUUGCUCUCAGUUCAGAGCAGUCUGAUUUCAGGCAUAAGGAUAGGUCUAUGGGACAGAAAUUGAAAAUGGAGCCAAAAUGAGUUAACUGACCUCGACUCAAGAUGCUCUGUGAAAAACAUCCACUGUAUAUGGUUUUAAAAAAGGAAAUUCCUACAUAAUCUUGCUGGAAGGCCAUUGUGAGUCUGAACCGAUGAAAACUGAGUUGGAAAGCAUGACUGAAGAGGUCUUGAAAGUUCUUGGAGUCAGGUUUACUAAACAUUCAUUCUAUGUCCAGCAUUUUGCUAGACAAUAUGAAAAGAUGGUAGAAAAUGUGGACACCCUGCCAUUGCCUUGGAGGAAGUUACAAUGGGUGAGAGAUGGGAGUAGAAAAAGGAGUGUACCUGAAAACAGAAGAACAAAUAGAAAAAUGAUCUAAAAUAUGAACUUGUCGGAUUAGAAGGAGGAAAUUAGGUCUGUUUGUCCUAUUUUGGGGAGUACUUGGCUUAUGUUUUUUUUUCCUGCUUCUUUGAUAAUAAUAAAGGUUUAAUUUUUAUGACUGGAAUUUUUACAGGUGCAUAUUAAAGUAGUACCAAACAUUUCUCGGAAAAAAACCAAAAGCAGCAGCUGAAGCAUCAAUCUUUUCUAUAAGGAACAGGACAAUGAUUAAUGAAAAACAUUUAAACUUAAAAAGCCAGAUCUGCAUACAAUCACAAACACAAGUUUCACAGGAAAAUGAGAAACCAAAAUAGGUUAUAGACUUUGUGGCAUAAUUCUAAGGAAAUCAAAAUGGCUAUCAGGUAGACACGGUUUAUUUAGGAACUAUUAAUGUCCAAUCAAUUGACUUGUAAAAAUCAAUCCUCAUCAAGCAACUGUCAACCAAACUCCAGAACUCCUAGAAAAUCCUCAAAAAACAGAGGCUGAGAAAGAAAAAGAAACUGUGCAAAUGGAAGCUAUGUUCACGCUGCUGAGAAAUCAAUACAACAAUGGCCAUGCAUUUCAAAUUGCAGGAAGAGGACAGAUGGCUAUAUGCUUAUACCUGCUGUUGUUUGCACUGCUUUCUGUACUCUUGGAGUGCUUAAGGACAAACCCUUUCACAAAAAUCUUUGCAAAUCCUAAUGAUGAACAAAUCUACACACACACAGGCACACCCACACGUGCACGUGUGCACACACACACACAUAAUACAGCUAUGGCAUUUGUUUGUAAAGGCACUUUCAGGGAAAGAGCAUCAUUCAUUUGUAAGGCUCUCUCUAUGGUUAUUUGUUUUCUGGCAAAGCAGAAAUUCCUCUAAAUAGGUCAUCAUAAUACGGAUAAUCAUCUCCACGGUAACCAGCUUUCAAGGCAACUGGCUGAGGAUUACAUUUCUGGAUGGGGAAAUUACAUGAGAGGCACAGUAGUGACACGAGAAGAUGCUGUCUAGUGCCAUUCAAAUUCACUUAUAAGUACAGCAUUUAUCAAAUAUUCUCUUCAUAAUUUGAAUUAAGUAUGAUUUAUUUGGGAGACAUUUGUAGGUAAUGCUCUUACUGUGUGCAAUAAAAGACACAACUGCUUGGUUAUUUCUUUUAAUGUUUGGGUUCAGCAAAUAGAUCUUGGUGCUCGGGGUUUCUAACGCUAAGCAGAGAGCAUCUCUUGGUAGAGGUCUAGGAGUAGGUGUUUAUUCUCGUCUCUGUCUCUGCCUGCCACUAUCUGUACACCUGUUUGUUAUAUUCAGGUGAGAGAUCGGAUUCUUAUGGGAUUGUGCAAGAACAAUCUUGAGCAUAAGGUAUCAUGAAGUUGAAGAACUCUUCUGACAAAUGUGUUUCCUAGAAAUGAAGGAAUCCAUUUUUUAGUGUCCAGGGAUAAGAUAACCAACUUCUUAAAAGUACUCUGAAGUUUGUAUCCUUGAAAUGUUUUUUAGCCAAGAAAAGCUGGCAUGCAACCAACCAAACCACUUCAGCUGUAUGUUUUUUCAUCUGUGUCUUAAAGCACUUGAAUAAUUCCAAGGAAGGAUCUAUUUCAUGUCAAUCUUAUACCUGUAGACCAUAGGUAGGAUGUUUGAUUAGAGUUAAAAGAACUCGUUGAGGCCUCCAGGCUGAAGGUGAUGGAGUGAAAACCACAGAAUCUUCCCCUCUCUCGCACACACAACUAAAAAAGUGAAUGCGAACAAUAAGAAACACUAGCUCCCUCUUCCCCAACAGUAAACCAGCCACCAAAUAAGGCAAAGAGCACGACUUACUAAUAUGGAUGCCAAAACAAAACAAAACGUGCACACACGCAUGCAAAAUCCUGGCCAAAAAAGAAAAAGACUGUGGAGUGACACAGUGCAGCUCCCUGCCCCUGUGAAGCUUUAUUGGUGAACUGAUGAAUCUUAAAACUUCACUAUUGCCCUCCAAUCUAGAGGGAAUUGCACUUAAUGACUACACUUAUUUUUCUCCCUCUUUUGCCUGAGCCCAUUUACUAGGCAGAAAUGGGCUGCUUCUUUCUGAUACCACAUUGUAUCAGUAAAGAUACCACAGUGGAUAAAAACUCAUGAGAGAGGGGAUUUUUGUCUUAUUUGUUCACACAGCUAUAUUCCCAGUGCCUUGAUUAGAAUAGUGCCUAGCAGAGAAUAGAUACUCAAUAAGUUUUGUUGAAUGAUUAGAAAAAAAAUCCCAGAGUGUUCCCCUCAGGGUGGAUAUGAGUCCUGAUUGAAGGGAGGGGUUAAAGCUUAGUUCAAAACACCUCUCAAAUCCCAGAGGACAGAGCAGAGCCCAGGAGUUCUAAUUUCACACUGAAGUCACACAGCUUCCACAGAGCUUUCCCCUACUCUCUCUGUCCCCUCCAACAAUCCACAUUAAAGUAGGUGGUAUUCAAUACCAAGUUCUCAAACUGUAGCUCAGAGGGUAAACUAGUUAGAGUCAAUGGAAAUGGAGUCAAGGAGAAGUCAUCUCUAGCACACCAGAACAAAGAGAAGAUCUGGAUGGAGCUAUUCAAGGAUGAACAAGAUGGAGGGAGAAAAACAGUGACAAAUAUCCAAACAUGCCACAGCAACACUCCCAAAUAAAAACAAACAAAACCAAGUGACCCUUAAAAAAAAGGAACGUAGCCUGCAAAAGAAUGAUAAAACCCCCACUCUUACAGAAAAAAUAAUCCAAAGGACAAAACAAAAUUCCUUAGAAGUACUUUGUACUAUGAAUCAAGUUAAUGAGAACAUUAACUCAGGAAAAUAUGAGCUCAAGAAUGAGAUGAUAGAACAAGAAGGUCACAGAAUUAAGGAGGUUGAGGACAAAAACAACUUAUAGAACAAUGAAAUAAAAGUGACAUAGCAAAGAACAAAUAAACAUGGCUGCAAAUAAAACUACUGAGCUAGAAGAAAGGCUUGUAAAUACAAGAACAAAGGAAUUAGAAGACAAUAGAUUGGAGUUCCAAAGCACUUAACAUAGCAAAAUUGAUAUCCCUUCCAAGAAACGGAACAGGAAAAGUAUUCACAAACACUAUACAAGGAAAUUUCACAAAGACAAAGAAUAACCUCAUCUACAGAUUGAAAGAGUAUACCAUGUUUUAGGAAAUAUUGGUAACAGAAUGCUCAACACUACAGACAUACCCGUGAUUGGAUAAUUGAAAUUCAAGAAUACAGACAUUCCUCAGGCAUUGAAGCAGAAAAAAACAAGUCACAGACAAGGAAGCAAAAAUUAGGCUGGCCUCAAAUAUCUCCACAAUAACAUUCAACACAAGAGCAAUGAGUAUACCAACCAACAUGUCAAAACAGGCAUUCUAUUAGUCAGGGAUGACAUAUAAUUGAGUCUCGUGAAUUUCUGGUCUUAACGAUCAUGGAUGAUGGUGUAGCCAGCCUUAGAAUAUCUAUACUAGCAUUUUCCAAAGUGUGUCUUUGAACUCUAAACCUGUCAAGUGUUCUAUGAAAAAGGGAACUAUGGUCAAGCCACUUAGAAACACAGAAUCUCUAAAAUUCUUGCCUUAGAGAUUUAUAAUACACAUCAGCAUAUAAAUGUCUCUAAGACCUUUUGCAUUAGAGAAAUCUAGUUUUCUUUUUAAAAACAUUCUUUAACCCAACACUUUCAUUGAAAUGAAUUUUACUCCCCAGAACACCUAUUAACAUCUUGCUGAAAGACUGACAGAUUCCAUCUGGAGAAAGUUCAAUCUACGAUAAUGGAGGGGGAAAAGAUUUAAUAACUCAAAACAGUAAUCAAUCCAAAAGCGAAUCAAAUUUAUUUGUUUACUUUGCCCCUCAAGGACAGCAAUAAAAUUUUAUUAUUCAUUCAUUCAUUUUAAAGUACUGACAUCUUAAAAUCCAGUUUCAGGAAGGAAAAUGUACUCCUCGCAGAGUGGUGGUUGUAGGACCACUUUGAAAGUACUAACAAUAAACUCCUACUUGAUGCAGCCAUUUUAAAUCUUUAAGCGCAGCUCAAUUUCACAUCUGCUUUGUUGAAAGGAAUGCAUGUUUGAAGGCUGCAUUCCCACCACGGAACUCUGGACAUGGCAGGACUUCAGCUCAGUACAAGAUGAGAGAAAUUUGAGGAGGAUAUUGAAACUUAACACUGUUUUUCUUCCUUAGAGAAGCAGGAACAAUGUAACUAAGAAGGCAAAGGAGUAAAUAUCUUCUAUUCCAGAAGAAAAACAAAACCACCACUGCUUUGCAAUACCUUUCCCUACUUCUCAGUAUUUCUCCAAUUUACAUCUGCAGUUUCUGACAGGGCGAUGGCUUCUAAUCAGGUUACACAGCUCUGCUUCAGAAAGGUGGAAGACUUUGCUGUCUGCUCACAUCUUCUCUUAUGCUACUUUGAACUAGAAAAAGUAUUUUAAUUCAAGGUUGACUUGUCUCUAUUUGCUUCCCAUCCUGUCAGAAGACAGAAAUGUGCCAAGAAUGUGGAGUGAAAAGUGGGAGGGAGCCGUUAGCUUUCAGAUAGUGUUAUAUUUGUCUGCCCUUGUAAGGUACCGCCAGGGAGCUGCUUGAAGUAAGAGAGUGGGUUGAGGGGUAACUGACUUAGAGGAGGUCAAAGGAUUUCAAGGAGUAAAGAAGGAAGGGACCCAUAAAGUGGAAUGCACCUUAAGGAGCAGUAAUCACCAGGAUAUGCUGCCCUCUGCAGGAUUUUUAGGGAAAAAUACACCAGUUAAAAUUACUAAACAUUUAAAGUUAACAAGAUCAGCGUUGACAAGGAUGCCAGCAGUAGGAACAUUCCUAUUCUUCUGGUUGGGGUGUUAUUUUGUAAUAUCUAGAAAAGCUGAAGGCAUGCAUUCCCUACCUCCCAGCAAUCUCACUCCUAGGUAAGUAUCCUAGAGGUAUUCUACAUUUGUAUCCAGAGACAUGUAUAGGAGCGCUCCUUGUUGCACUGUUUGUGACAGCAAGAAAUUGGAAUCAACCCAAAUUUCCACCAACAGAAAAAUGUAAACAUCCACUGGGGUCUAUUCCUACCUUGGGAUGCCAUACAGCAAUUAAAACUAACAAGCUUACAUUAAUCAACAGGGAAACAUCUCAGGAAUAUAACAUGGAGAGACAUGUUACAUGAGGAUACCUAAUGUGAUACUGUUUACAUAAAGUUUGAAAACACAUAAAAUAGAGUAUAAUACCAUUUACAUAACUGAAAACAAGCAAAAACAAAGCUGUGUGUGUAUAUAACAAAAACAUGCACAGGACUGAUGAAUAUAAAACAUGAACAUAAGCCUGAGAAUUACAAACAUCUAGUUUAAGACAACAGUUACUUCUGAGAAAAGGGAUAGGAAGCGGACAUAGGGCAUUUUGAUUAUAUAUAUUAUGGUUUAUUUCUUUUGCGUACUGGGUACAUGAGUAUUCAUUAUGUUAUACUUAUUAUUAUAAGGCCUGAACGAUUUCAUUUAAAAAAAUUGAGGAGUUCUGAUUCAGAUGCAUCUGAAAUUUAUGAAGUUCCUGCCAUGUAUUGAGCAGGUGCCCUUUCGCUUUGGCAGUGUGAUAGCCAAUCCUGGAGGAGUCUUUUCUUGUAAGUGUAACCGAAUCCCAUUAUCCUGACACUUCUGCACUGUACCUUCUGCAAUGUGACCCCACCUGACCUCCUGCCGAGAGCUCACCACUGUGACUGAUGGAUUCGUGGACAGCGGGUGCAGGUGGAAGGGGAAUGAAAGCAAGGUAGAUUAUUAAGACUAAGAAGAAAGGGAAUUAAGUUGAUUUAGGAUUUUCUUUUCCAAAUGAAUUCAGCUUCCUUCUUUCUAUGGCUCACAUUCUCUCUCAACUUACCAAUUUCUUAAGGGAAACUGUGGGACGGGAGAUGUGGGUGCGAAUAAAGAAAUUCUCCGUUAUAGACUCAUUAGAGCAUGCUGCAUGAGGAAAAAGGUAAAUGUCCUGAAUUGGUUUCUUUCGGCCUAUAAUGGGUAAGACUCAGAGGCAGUCAGUUGGGUGCUUAAACUGAGGCUAGACAUUCACUUUUGAGGCACCUAUAGGGGACUUCAAGCAUCCAAUGAGGUGAUACCCUCCAUCAGUAGUCAACUUUGGUUUCACAUUAUGAUCACCUGGAGAGUUUUAAAAACUACCGACUCUUGCACCCAUCCCCACCCCGCCCCCCACGCCGAGACUCUGUAUUGGUUGGUCUCUGAUGGGGUCCCAGGUUUUUCAUAUUUUAUAAAUAUCACUUUCCAGAGGAUUUUAAUGUACCUUGAGAACCACUGUGCUGCAAUUGUUAUCUUUGCAGCCCUGAUACACCACUGACUGACUUUCAGGGCCAUUGGUUACCAUGAUUGGGAUGGUUCCUGCUGGCCUCUCCUGUCAUGUUUGUGACAGAAUGGAAGAAACCCUGGGCAGAUGUUGUUUGUUUCCACUAAUUCUCUCUUUUCUCACAGCUGCAAACAUCUUGAUGUGCCACUUCUUGCCUAGAUGCUCUGCUGGAGAUGGUUCACUGGGCCGUGGCUUCCCUUCGGGUCUUUUGUGCAAGGCCAAGUGUUUGGAGACAGGCCGGGCUGUGCUUCGCAGCAGAGGCAAUGGAUGGCAGGAAGAAGUCUUCAGCUCAAUUACAGCUGUUCCCACCAGAGUGUUCUCUUUGUUACCCUGCAAAUCUGCUGAUAAAGAAUGAGGGUUUUACUUGUCUGCCAAGAUUGCAGGCACAGGCUUCUUUGUGCAGUAAUGGGGAGAAGAUCAUGCAGAAUGAGCCAAAUUGCAUAUAAUGGGACAUUCCUGGACAGGAACUGCAACUCUCCCAGGAGAUUCUUGCUUUCAGACAAAGUCCCAACUUCUUGGCAUGAAGUAUGAGGAUCUAUAUGCAUCCUCACACCGCCAACACACACACUCAGAAUCCUCAUCUGCUGCCACUUCCUGGUACACGCCCAUACUCCAACUUCACCAAAUUACUUGUCUUCCUGGAAUGCACAAUGCAUUCUUAUACCGCAAUAAUAAUUUGUACCAACUGGUUCAGUGGCAUCCGGAAUGCAAUUAACCCAUAUCCAUUUUCUCCUUCCUUUGCAUUUUGACUUAAUGAUGCUUGACUCUAGAUAGCUUCUCCCAUAAAGGGAGAAAAAAAGACUCCAGCAAGACAGUUAUGAGAAGGGCAAACCCCGAUGGUAUCUUACAAUCCUAUGGGUUUGUUGUGUACGGUGUUAUUGUCCACUAAAUUUUCAUUGAGAUGUGCUCCAUGGGAGUCACUGUACAAGGCCCAGCCUAAAUUGUAAACACAAAUGCAUAUUUGCCUUCCCUAUAUACGAAAAGACUUGUUAGGCUUACAGAGAAAAAGAGAUAGUUGUGGCUCAGUGUUUAAUUUUUGUUUUUUCUGGUAGAGGAUGAAAUUUAUUUUUAUUCCUCCUAUUUUUGGUCGCAUCUUAGUAUUUAAGCAUACAGUUAUUGAAGUUUUGUCCUUAUGGUCUAAUUGAGAAUUAUCCUAUGCUGUUCAAACUAUGCCUUAUAUUAACUCUUGAUUUACAAAUUGGCUUUUGGGCACAAAGAAAUAAUUAAAAAGUUGCAGAGAAUAAACUACUCCAGAGGAAUUUAUAUAACACACAAGUAAGAAAAUGUAUCAAUCCCAUUCACAGAUAGCAUAUGCCUAAGGUAUUUGAAGUUCUCUACUUAGCAAUCAUCAGGAAAUGACAAAAACAGAAGUUGGACUGGCAUGUUGUGAUCUGGCUACUUACUGUACAUCUCCUGGGCUUCAGAUACGGUGAAAUGUGACACAUCAUCAGAUAGUUAAAAGCACAAAGUUGUUUUCAGUUCAGUUACAAAUUUAGAUGGGAAGAUAUCCUAUUUGGUAUGAAAGUAGUUGAGCAGAUAGAUCUUGUGGUUCACUGACUACCCGAAUUAAAUUUAAGCCCCUCUGAAUAUUUUGACUUGCCACUCUGCUUGACAAGGGCUUGACAGUCAACUCAAGGGAACAAGGGGCUGAGAGGAAGCCCAUAAAUCACAGACAAAGCAUUGCUCUUCAAGCUCAGCAAAACGUGAGUCAAGAUUGGGGUGGCUUCUUUCUUAAACAAUGGAGGAACAAAUUGGGGUGCCUUCCUUGAAAUGGUCAAGUGGCAUCUUCAUUGAGUGCCCCUUGAAAUGAAAGAAUAACCUCUCCUUUUAUGUGGCCGUUUAUGAGUCAGCAUGGGUGACAUCUAUUUUUUUUCAUUAAAAUUUUUUUUUUUAUUGUGGUCUAAAUAGUUUAUAACAUGGUGAAAUUUCAGUUGUACACAUGCAUGACAUCUUAACAGCCAGGAACUUGCUCCUUUCGGCCUGAAGUUAAUAUUUCCAAAUUUGAGACCAUGACCCUCUUUGUCUCCUGUUACAUCUUUUCACAAUAAUAAAGAAGAUUAAAUAUAAUUAUAUCUUUUCACAAUAAUAAAGAAGUUUAAAUAUAAGGUGAGGGGAAAUGUUCAACUUCAAUAGUAAUCAAAGAAAUAUAAAUAAAAAUGAGACCUACAUUUUCUUCUAUCAAAUUGGCAAAGGCUUAAAAAAAUUAUAUAAUGCUCAUUGUUGGUCAAAGGGUGCAGUCACGUACUCAGAGGGGAGGAUAACAAUCUAAAGUGUUAACAGUCUUUCUGGAGAGGACUUUGGCAUACAAAGCCUUAAGAUGUGCAUGUUCUUUGAUCAGAAGACCUACCUUCUCCGGAAGCUAAUUGAGGAUUUGAGCAAAUGUUUAGUGACAAAGAUAUUAUUGUAGUGUGGUUUAUAGUACAGAAAAACUUGAAAUGACUAAAGUGUUCAACAAUGGGACAUUGGUUAAAUAAAUUCUGGAAUGAUCGUAUCAUGGGAUGAUCUAUAGCCAUUUAAAACAAUGUUUAAAAUAUUGAUGCAGAAAGAUGUUCACAAUAUUAUGUUGUUAAAAAAGCAGGUUAAAAAUUAGUAUGCUUUGUAUAUUCCAAUUUUGUUAAGGAAAGUAUCCAGAUACACGUGUGCAUAAAAAUAGACCUGGAACUAUGUACCACAAAAUCAACCUCACUGAUUUCUGGGAGGUGAAUUUUAAGGUUGUUUAUGAAUUUCUUUCUAAUUGUCUGCAUUUUCAAAUUUUUUAUAAUUUAUUUAUAUCUACAUUAGUGAGACAAACAAAGCUACUUCUAAUUUAACUAAAUAAAUAUGAAUAUGCAUGUGGAAGCUAAGAGCAAUGACAGCAGGUCAAGGAGCCUGUGAGUCUGACUGUGAUGGAGACUGGGUGUUGCCUACACCUCGACCCAAUUCGCAUCUUCCUUUAGUUUUAGCACCCCAGUUUUUAGCUGCUCACACUGCCACCCAGAAUCAAAGACCACAUUUCCCAGUUUCCUUUGUAGGUAAGGUGGUUAAAACUAGCUUCUGACCAUUGAGAUGGAAGUAGAAGUACUGUGGGGACUUUAGAAACUUUCACUAAAGGGCCUCUAUUCACCCUUCUUUUUCCCCUUUUUCCUUCUCACGUGGAUGUAUUGACUGGCGCCCUGUCUGCUGCACAGGUCCACGACAUGGAAGCCACAUGCGGAGGGCAGCAGAAGAGAAAGAUAGCAGUCUAGGCUCCUUGUAAUAGAUGGAGACUCCAUGUCAGCUUUGGAUUGCUUCCCCUCACAUUAUUUCAUAUUCUAGAAACAUCAAUUUCUACUUCAUUUAAACCACUGAUAUUUUGGGUGUUUCCGUUAUUUGCAGCCACUCUUGGGCCUAACUAAUAUACUGACUAAUUGUGUUUGCAGUUGUUGCUAACUGAUCACAACCCUUUACCGAAAGAGUUUUUAGAAUUAGCUGUCCAGAAAAAGAAAAUAUUUGGCUCAUCAUAAAAACCAUACUUUCAUACGUAUCUAUACCAGUAUGUUGAAUUUCUUGGAUUUCUAGAAGACUCUCUCGUUAGUGAUUUUUUUUUUGGAUGCAGCAGAGAAGCCUAUAUUGACUUGACCUCAAAUGUUGAUAUGGCCAAUUUGGGGGCAAUAUCGGCCAAGUGUGACUCUUAAUUAUAUAAAAGUUAAACAUUGAUUGGAUGUUAAUGAUGAAAAUCAUGACAUUUUUACAUGAGAGCAAAUAUGGCUUAUUAAAGCACAGAGGCCUUUAGUAAAUACAUUUAGGGAGAAUGAGCCUGUUACUAAAGGAAAGUUUGUUAUCUGGGAUGCAUCAUUUAAAAAAUUUUACCAAAUGAAUAUUUCUGUGAACUAAUAUGACUUUGAGAGAAAAAUUGUAUUGAACUCUGAAAAAAUCAAAAUAUGGAUUCUUUAGCAUUAUUUCAUAUUGCUACAAAAAUUGAGGAACGGUGUAAUACCUAAAUAUACUCUAAGACAGCAUGAUCUUUGCUCUCCUUUAGGAGCAUGAAGUCAUUUGCUCAGUUUUCAUCAUCAUAUGGCUAAUUUACAGGGUAGAGCGAGUGGAUGCUUCAAGGACUUAAAACCAUGAUAAUGAUGAAAUGUUUAUUUUGUUAGCCUUGUUCUAGAAAAACAGGGCUUUCAAAUGAUUCUUGAAAUGAUCAUAAAAAUAUAAGCAAUUAAAGAACACAACAUUAAUUCUUUCCAUCCCCCCAACUAUAAGACAUUAUUAGAAAUGAAAGUGGCCAGAGUGAAAAAAGGAAAAAAAAGAUUGAGAGAGAGACAUCCCCUUUUUUCUAUAUUUUAUUUUUCUCUUUAUCAAUGCAAAUGUGCAUGUUUUCAUCUCUGUAGGAUUCUUCCCUCACUGCAUUCCACAGGCCCAGAGAAACUCGCUGGAACUCAUACAAAAUCCUCUUCUGCUACCAUAUUAGGAAUUAAAAUGUGUAGCAGAAACCCACUGCCAAGUCGAGAUAAUCAACAGGGAAUGUCUGUGCCUUCAAGCCAAAUGAGUGCAGAAAAAUGAUCAAGGCAGGCAAAAUAAAUAAUAAAACUUAAGACUGGCUUUAGAUUAUGGUCUUAUUAUAUCCCAUUCCCUAAUAAAGCUGUGCUGGAAAUUUCUAUACCUCUUGGCCAUUCAGGUACCAGAGCCUCGUUAGGUCAAAUUUUACUACGGAUAUAAUUAACUCUGGGUCACAAGUGGAGCAAAGUGAAAUAGUAUAACUUUGCCUUAUGAACUACAUAAAAAAUUUUGCGUAGUUGCAUGCCUCAUAAAUCUUCUACCAUAAUACCAAACUGAUUCUACAAUACUUUAAAUUUUAGUUAUUUUUUCCAACUUUUGCAAAGAGUCUGAAAAUGUUUGAAAGUUACCAUAAAACUUUCCGGGUAUAUUGUUUUGACUCCAAGUGAAAUUGGUUAAGAUUAGUUAUAUUUUAUUUAUUUAUAUGCAGCACUUGAUUCAUCACAUACUUGAUGAGAAAUAAAUUUUUAAUUAAUACCUGUGCCAAAUUAAUAGACAUUUCAAACCACAACACAGUGGCUCUGGAAUCCUAGGAAGAGACGGGAAAGGGGUUGUGUAGCGAAGGCUGAGCAAUUAUCCAGUGGGUUAAACAGACUAUUGUGGAACUCCCUGCCUGCUUUAUUAAGACAGUAAUGAUUACACCUGAGAAGGUAACGCUGCAAUGAUGAGAAAUUUGACCUUGCAGCCACAUUUCGUAAGUUUUAAAGGAAGCAGAGGUAAGAAAUGAGGAGAUCAGAGAAGAGAGGUUUCAUAAAUCAAGGCAACAGAUGACAGGAGCCUGGGUGAGAGUUUAAUCGUAGACUCAGGAUGAAGCAAAGAAUUUAGAGCUAUUACAAAGUAAUUUGUGUGCUAUAACUCUCGGGAAAUUAUAAUUAUCAGAGAAAUAAUGGACGCGUGGUCAAAAUGUUUCUGGGCAUAAUACCUGGACAAAAAAAAAAAAGAUAAAAGAAAAACAAGUGCUCUAGGAUAUUUGGAGGUGCAGGGACAACCAACAAAAAUGCCUUCCUUGUAUGUUAUAGCAAGUCGUAUAUACAAGGUGAGUUUUCCAGGCUACUCCCUAAUUUACACCUUUGUGAAGUUUGUGAGAGAGACUUCCUUACGCCCUUCAUAUACAUGAGGGCAAGGGCUGAAUCACCUCGGCUAAAGAACUUGCUCAAAGUCUCAGUAAGAAUGUGCACUGGAUCUCACCUCCUUGCUCUCUCCAAAACACCCACUAACACCAGUCUAAGUAGGAAUAUCUGCUUUUGGAGGGCUCCUCCUUUCCUUUGCUGUGAGACUUAGGACAGCCCCCCACCUUCUUCCCUAUCUUGGUUGUUCAGUCUUCACUUUGAGCAAUUUUUAGUUCUCCAAUAGUUGUGAGACUCUGCAAGGUCUGGGACCUCGGGCACAUUCUUUAGCCACCUUGGCUUUGGUGAGGCAAAACUGUACACAGAAAUAACAAUCAACAGACCGGAAAUGCCCUUGUUAGAAGGAAUGGAAAAAAGGUGCUCAAAUACCUUGGCCGCUACUGCCAUCUCCUGUUCAGAGUGGCUCACCCAAUGCUGCCUUUACAUACAUUCACUUUACGUUCAAGUGUAAUACCCAGGCCAAACUGAUUCCAGGUGACAGUCAGGAACAUUCCCUAUGCACUCGAGCUUUCCCAUUCUACCUGUUCUAGCAGCAACAUCUUUUGGCAGUGGCCCAUGUUAGAAGGCAGUAUAAACAGGAGUAAGGUAGUGAAGACUAUUGUUUGUUGGAGGAGGGAGCUGUGAGGUGGAGAUGUGGUCAAAGAUGCAGGAAAAGAAGACAGGAGUGUGCUUCUAGUCUGAGUAUACCGGAUGAAGGACAAACACCUCCACUCAGAAACUAACACCUCCGCAUGGGCCACGUACAAGAAAGUUGAAGGACCAGGAAUUCUGAUCCUCUCCUGAUUUCAAGAGGGGACAUCGAAGGAGCUUUGAUGUACCUCCAAAUCUCAGACUGUGUGUAGUGAGGUUAAGAAUUGGGAUGGUGGUGGUACACAAAGAAGAUUCUGGAUCUUCUCAGAACUUAGUAUUUGUAUUUCUGAGAAUGUGACAAUCAGAGCCAUCCCAAUGGUACAUCAUGAGGACAAUUAUUCCAGGAUUCAAGCUUUUCUUUGCUCUCAUGGCUUCCCAAUUCAUCAUUAGAAAGUAAUUUUAGGGGACUGCUAGGUACCUGGCUUGUGGGAGGGGAAGUGGGACAGAGAGGCGGUGUUACCAUCGCCUGGUGCUGAAGACUCACGACAGGUGACAGUACCCCAGCUCUCUUAUCCCCAAGGUCCUUACCAUAUUUGUGAGAUGGCCUCUUUUCUUCUCAAAACCAUACAAGGCUACUCUUAUGGAUCUAUUUUCCUUUCAAGACAGUUCCUGAUGCUAAAUUUAACUUGACUUGACUUCUUAUUAACAGGAGAGGCCCACACAGUAUGAUUAGCCGCAGGUAACAAAUCACUCCGGGGCACUGCUAGUGCUAAACCCAGAGACAAGAGUGAGUCACGGAAGAGCAAAAAAA